rnacentral:lncRNA from 1 species
UCCAGUCCUUGCCCGGCUUGAGGGCAUAUUUUGUGGCCCAAGCCCUAGAUUUCAAGGCCAGGUUAGGCUACCUUGCCCAUUGCCAGCCGCCCUAGAUGGAGACACUCACACAAGAGAGCGUGAGCCUGACUCCACCAGCAACAGUAGGGUGAGGCAAGCUCCAGGAUGGCCUAACCUUAGAGACUUUGGACUCAGAGGAAGGUACGACUCCUUACUCAACCAAUGGUUCUCAAGA